rnacentral:rRNA from 1 species
UACGUAGGGUGCAAGCGUUAAUCGGAAUUACUGGGCGUAAAGCGUGCGCAGGCGGUUUUGUAAGGCUGACGUGAAAUCCCCGGGCUUAACCUGGGAAUUGCGUUGGAGACUGCAAGGCUGGAGUCUGGCAGAGGGGGGUAGAAUUCCACGUGUAGCAGUGAAAUGCGUAGAGAUGUGGAGGAACACCGAUGGCGAAGGCAGCCCCCUGGGUCAAAACUGACGCUCAUGCACGAAAGCGUGGGGAGCAAACAGG